ensembl:lincRNA
AUAAGAUUGCACAGGAAAAAGAUAAAAUUGCAGAGGAAAAAGAAGUGCUGCAGCACAAUCUCGGUAAAUUUUCUAACAACUCCCUCCUCCAAAAUGCCUUUUUGAAAGACUCUUUUUUGAGUGACUAUAAUAUGC